AUUGAACGCUGGCGGCAGGCCUAACACAUGCAAGUCGAGCGGGGUUUUCGGACCUAGCGGCGGACGGGUGAGUAAUGCGUAGGAAGCUGCCCGAUGGAGGGGGAUACCAGUUGGAAACGACUGUUAAUACCGCAUAAUGUCUACGGACCAAAGUGUGGGACCUUCGGGCCACAUGCUAUCGGAUGCGCCUACGUGGGAUUAGCUAGUUGGUGAGGUAAUGGCUCACCAAGGCGACGAUCUCUAGCUGGUUUGAGAGGAUGAUCAGCCACACUGGAACUGAGACAAGGUCCAGACUCCUACGGGAGGCAGCAGUGGGGAAUAUUGGACAAUGGGCGCAAGCCUGAUCCAGCCAUGCCGCGUGUAUGAAGAAGGCCUUCGGGUUGUAAAGCACUUUCAGCGAGGAGGAAGGGUGGUGUGUUAAUAGCACAUCAUUUUGACGUUACUCGCAGAAGAAGCACCGGCUAACUCUGUGCCAGCCGCCGCGGUAAGAC
rnacentral:rRNA from 1 species